rnacentral:rRNA from 1 species
UACGUAGGGGGCAAGCGUUGUCCGGAAUCAUUGGGCGUAAAGCGCGUGUAGGCGGCUCGAUAAGUCUGCUGUGAAAGUCCAGGGCUCAACCCUGGGAUGCCGGUGGAUACUGUCGAGCUCGAGUCCGGAAGAGGCGAGUGGAAUUCCCGGUGUAGCGGUGAAAUGCGCAGAUAUCGGGAGGAACACCAAUGGCGAAGGCAGCUCGCUGGGACGGUACUGACGCUGAGGCGCGAAAGCGUGGGGAGCAAACAGGG